AGCGAACGUUAGCGGCGCGCCUAACACAUGCAAGUCGCACGAGAAAGGGAGCAAUCCCUGGUACAGUGACGCACGGGUGAGUAACACGUAGAUGACCUUCCCUGGAGUGGUGGAUAACCUGCCGAAAGGCGGGCUAAUACAGCAUGGGACCACAUGGUUUUGACCGAGUGGUGAAAGCGGGCCUCUGUUCACAAGCUCGCGCUCUGGGAUGGGUCUGCGUCCCAUCAGCUAGUUGGUGAGGUAAUGGCUCACCAAGGCAUCGACGGGUAGCUGGUCUGAGAGGAUGACCAGCCACACUGGAACCGAGACACGGUCCAGACUCCUACGGGAGGCAGCAGUGGGGAAUCUUGCGCAAUGGGCGAAAGCCUGACGCAGCGACGCCGCGUGGGUGAUGAAGGCCUCGGUUGUAAGACCUCGUGGGAGGACGGAACCGUACGGGGACGGAACGA
rnacentral:rRNA from 1 species